rnacentral:rRNA from 1 species
GGUUCAGAACGUCGUGAGACAGUUCGGUCCCUAUCCGUCGUGGGCGUAGGAAAUUUGAGAGGAGCUGUCCUUAGUACGAGAGGACCGGGAUGGACAUACCUCUGGUGUACCAGUUGUCGUGCCAACGGCAUAGCUGGGUAGCUAUGUAUGGACGGGAUAAGUGCUGAAAGCAUCUAAGCAUGAAGCCCCCCUCGAGAUGAGAUUUCCCAACUUCGGUUAUAAGAUCCCUCAAAGAUGAUGAGGUGAAUAGGUUCGAGGUGGAAGCGUAGCGAUACGUGGAGCUGACGAAUACUA